UACGUAGGGCGCAAGCGUUGUCCGGAAUUAUUGGGCGUAAAGAGCUCGUAGGUGGUUUGUUACGUCUGCUGUGAAAACCUAGGGCUUAACCCUGGGCCUGCAGUGGAUACGGGCAGACUAGAGGUAGGUAGGGGAGAAUGGAAUUCCCGGUGUAGCGGUGAAAUGCGCAGAUAUCAGGAGGAACACCGGUGGCGAAGGCGGGUCUCUGGGCCGAUACUGACGCUGAGGAGCGAAAGCGUGGGGAGCGAACAGG
rnacentral:rRNA from 1 species